rnacentral:rRNA from 1 species
GACGAACGCUGGCGGCGUGCUUAACACAUGCAAGUCGAACGGAAAGGCCCUGCUUUUGUGGGGUGCUCGAGUGGCGAACGGGUGAGUAACACGUGAGUAACCUGCCCUUGACUUUGGGAUAACUUCAGGAAACUGGGGCUAAUACCGGAUAGGAGCUCCUGCUGCAUGGUGGGGGUUGGAAAGUUUCGGCGGUUGGGGAUGGACUCGCGGCUUAUCAGCUUGUUGGUGGGGUAGUGGCUUACCAAGGCUUUGACGGGUAGCCGGCCUGAGAGGGUGACCGGGCACAUGGGGACGGAGGUGCGGCCAGGAGUCGUACGGGAGGCAGCAGCGGGGGAUAGUGCAAUAUGGGCGGAGGCCUGAUGCCGCAACGCCGCGUGCGGGAUGACGGCCUGCGGGUUGUGAACAGCUUUCGCCUGUGACGAAGCGUGAGUGACGGUAAUGGGUAAAGAAGGACCGGCUAAGUACGUG